rnacentral:rRNA from 2 species
GGUUAAGCGACUAAGCGUACACGGUGGAUGCCCUGGCAGUCAGAGGCGAUGAAGGGCGUGCUAAUCUGCGAUAAGCGCCGGUAAGGUGAUAUGAACCGUUAUAACCGGCGAUACCCGAAUGGGGAAACCCAGUGUGACUCGUCACACUAUCAUUAACUGAAUCCAUAGGUUAAUGAGGCGAACCGGGGGAACUGAAACAUCUAAGUACCCCGAGGAAAAGAAAUCAACCGAGAUUCCCCCAGUAGCGGCGAGCGAACGGGGAGGAGCCCAGAGCCUGAAUCAGCAUGUGUGUUAGUGGAAGCGUCUGGAAAGGCGCGCGAUACAGGGUGACAGCCCCGUACACAAAAGCGCAUGUGCUGUGAGCUCGAUGAGUAGGGCGGGACACGUGGUAUCCUGUCUGAAUAUGGGGGGACCAUCCUCCAAGGCUAAAUACUCCUGACUGACCGAUAGUGAACCAGUACCGUGAGGGAAAGGCGAAAAGAACCCCGGCGAGGGGAGUGAAAAAGAACCUGAAACCGUGUACGUACAAGCAGUGGGAGCACCCUUUGGGUGUGACUGCGUACCUUUUGUAUAAUGGGUCAGCGACUUAUAUUCUGUAGCAAGGUUAACCGAAUAGGGGAGCCGGAGGGAAACCGAGUCUUAAUUGGGCGUUAAGUUGCAGGGUAUAGACCCGAAACCCGGUGAUCUAGCCAUGGGCAGGUUGAAGGUUGGGUAACACUAACUGGAGGACCGAACCGACUAAUGUUGAAAAAUUAGCGGAUGACCUGUGGCUGGGGGUGAAAGGCCAAUCAAACCGGGAGAUAGCUGGUUCUCCCCGAAAGCUAUUUAGGUAGCGCCUCGUGAAUUCAUCUCCGGGGGUAGAGCACUGUUUCGGCUAGGGGGCCAUCCCGGCUUACCAACCCGAUGCAAACUGCGAAUACCGGAGAAUGUUAUCACGGGAGACACACGGCGGGUGCUAACGUCCGUCGUGAAGAGGGAAACAACCCAGACCGCCAGCUAAGGUCCCAAAGUCAUGGUUAAGUGGGAAACGAUGUGGGAAGGCCCAGACAGCCAGGAUGUUGGCUUAGAAGCAGCCAUCAUUUAAAGAAAGCGUAAUAGCUCACUGGUCGAGUCGGCCUGCGCGGAAGAUGUAACGGGGCUAAACCAUGCACCGAAGCUGCGGCAGCGACACUGUGUGUUGUUGGGUA